UGAGUUAUGUGCUCAGAGAAGAAAGUUGGGAGAAGGUUCCCUCACAGCUCCUGUAGAGGCUACAGAAGGGGGAAUGUUUUCCUGUAGCUUAUAGAGAGGAAAAUGUUGCAGUGGAUUUCUGCACAGAGAAUUCUAUGCUGGCAUCAGUUCCAGGAGCUGCGGCUUGGGAGAGCCUGCACUGGAGCGGUUUUUCUGACAGAAAGUGCAAUCGUGAAGAGCCUGUGCUGGAGCAGUCUUCCUGACAGGAACUGUGGCUUUGGAGAAUGCACACUGAAGCAGAGUUUUACUGACAGAAAGCAUGGCACUGGAGAGCCAUCUUGGAGCAAAUUCUCCUGACAGGAACUGUGGUGGUAGAGAAGAUCUGCACUGCGGCAUGUUUUCCUGUCACCGACACUGUGGCUUUGGAGAGUCCAUGCUGUACUUUAUUUUUCCUCAUAGAAGUUGUUUCCUCAUAGAAGUCCUCAAAAGCUGUGGCUGUGGAGAGGACUUGUACUAGGAUACGUUCUCCUCUGUCAGGAGCUGCAGUCUGUGGAGAGCUGGUGCUGGAGUAGUUCUCCUGAGAGGAAUUGCAGCCUAUGGCCAGCUCACAUUGGAGCAGAAUAUUCCAGAAAGACUCGAGUCCAAGGAGAGGACCCACACUGGGGCAGGUGAAAAAUGGUGCAGCUCACUGUGACAGUUGUAUUGAAAUAUGACUCCAGUAUCCAGUACCUGCUGAAAAGUCAAGGAGUGUUCAGUGCUCUCCUUAAAGGCAAAGGAAACUGGGCUUUUAGAAGAUAAUGCAUCAUCAUCUGUAUGAUAGAUACCAGGGAUCUCUAACUACACGUGGAUUUAAUAGUUCUCAUGUACUUACAGUGCACUACAUGAUGAUAUGAUGUGGAAUACCGAUAACCAAAAAUCAUAAAACCAUGACAUUAUGAUAGCUAAAUAGACAAUCUGAUGAAGUACUGAAAAUGUCAUACAAUCCUGUUUAUAGUGAGUGUUGGAGGACACAUUUGUUUCUCUACUUCUGGAAAUCUGAAUUACCCCCAUGAAAGCUUUAAUCUCCUUUGUUACUUGUUCAAAGGAAGUACUUUUCCUUUGUUUGCUGAUAAUGGCAAAGAUAAGGAUGCUUUGUGUUCCAAUGCCACAGUUUUUGAGGGUGACUGAUCUAAUAGUUUUCCAUUGCUAAAUUCUAGAGGCAGACUGCAGAUUCUUCUUCUACAUCAUGUACCACAUUUGUGAAAUUUCCGUCCUCCUAAUAUGAUCAUGAAGGAAUAGGCUAUAAUUUCCAUAAAAGGUUGUAUCAGUUUACAAUUGCACAAGGUUUUCUAAGAAGGGAGGCUCUCCAUUCAAGUACCCCACUUAAUUCCAGUUAUAAAAUAAGACAUAAGGUUUAUAGUGCUUAGUAAUCUAAACUGAUUCUUUUAUUUCCAGAAAUUAAAUGUAUGCCAGAGAAUUUUUCUGAGUUUCUGUAAAGUAUCUCUUGCAGAAAAAUAAGCCAGUAAGGUGGGAAAAUUUGUUUUGCCCUCUGAAAUUCUGAGAUCAGUAGUAAGGGAUAUUGCUACAUGAAGGAUCACUGCAGUAGUCUAGUCUGGUUGUGAUACUGAGUAACACAAGUCGGAUGAGAGCCUGAGCCAAAAGAAAAAGUUGUGUUUUCUUGAAACAAAAAUUCUAGUUAGCACUGGACUUUGGAUCUCCCUCUGAAUACUUGAUCUUGUGAUCAGUAUUUCAUGACUGGAAACAAUAAAAUUAGCCACAGUCUUGAAGACCCUUUGGCUGUGAAUCUUUGUAACAAAAGGAUGGCAUCCUCAUUAUCUCCUACUGUGCCAUCAAUAUGUCACUUUCUCAAAACACUUUCUUUGUAUAAAGGUAUCACCUUUACUUCAAAGAGAGCUACAGUCAAAGUGUUCUCAUAUAAGCUUCAAUUUAGGCUAAACACAAGGGAAACCCAACCCUGCUGUAUUAUCUAUGCCUAUGAUACAUCAAGCUAAGUGUGACAGCUAGCUAUUACCAAUACAAAUUAGAUUGCCUCCUUAUACAAGAAAGGUCAGAAAUGAAUGCUGGAAAGUUCGCAGGAGAGAGCCCAACAACAGAAGAACAUUUAGCCAACUUUCUUAAAUUUAGAGAAGAAUCCAGUGCUAUUUCUUACAGUCUCAUCAGAGUUUGUAGAAUGACAAAAACUUCAUGGAAUAAGACACAGCAAAAAAAGUCUAAAAUGGUUUUGAAAAACAGUUUGUCCUGGCCAAUUACAAAAGAAUAUGCAUAGCUAAUUAGAUCAGUAUUCUCAUCGCUGAACCUAAAUCUCUAAUUAAGGGAGCCAGGAGAUGCUUCAUCAGAUCUUUUGUUCCUCCUAAACAGGAUGAUUAAACAGAAGAGAAAGUGACAAAACAAGGAACACAAUCUCUGGUUAUAAAAUAUUGUGUUUAUUUCAACAUGAAGUAUCUUAUGAAAAAAUGUGCAUGAUGUGGUAGCUAGCAGGGAUUGGAGGAGAUAGGCCAAUUCAUUACUGUAGUAAAUGUGAAUGGUGAAUGCAUUAGGCCUUUGCAUCAAAAAUACAAAUACAUACCUAAAUAAACAUAACAUUUUUGGUGCUUUUGAUCAAAAUUAUUUUACUGUUUUUCCUGUUACAUUUCAGGAGUAUCACAAAGUACAGCUAUGUUUUUCAGAUUGCCAUUUCACUUUUCACGUGUCCCCUUUGUUCUCCUGGCUAUGUAACUACAUCAAGUUUGAGAGCUUUUUCAUAAAUGUAACAUCAUAACAUUUUGAACGUAAAGAGGAGUUCUACAUU
ensembl:lncRNA